GAAGCAGUUGUUCGAGUCACAGGCUAAGAAGACAUCGCUCUUGUCUCGCUCCCUGAUUGCUACACCAUGCCUGACGGCUGUCUAAGGCUACCACCAGUGCUGUGGGUCGUGCUGACUGCGUUGGGAGCUGCAACCCAGAAACCCCAAGCCUGUGCCCCGUGGUGCCCUAGGAAUUCCAUGUGUGUCAACGCCACAGCCUGCCGCUGCAACCCAGGAUUCAAGGCCCUCUCUGGGGACGUGUUCACAGAUUCCACAGACACCUGCGAGGGUACGGA